UACGUAGGGUGCAAGCGUUAAUCGGAAUUACUGGGCGUAAAGCGUGCGCAGGCGGUUCGCUAAGACAGAUGUGAAAUCCCCGGGCUUAACCUGGGAACUGCAUUUGUGACUGGCGGGCUAGAGUAUGGCAGAGGGGGGUAGAAUUCCACGUGUAGCAGUGAAAUGCGUAGAGAUGUGGAGGAAUACCGAUGGCGAAGGCAGCCCCCUGGGCCACUACUGACGCUCAUGCACGAAAGCGUGGGGAGCAAACAGG
rnacentral:rRNA from 1 species